GUGCCAGCAGCCGCGGUAAUACCAGCUCUCCGAGUGGUAGGGACGAUUAUUGGGCUUAAAGCGUCCGUAGCCGGCUUAGCAAGUCUCCUGUUAAAUUCGGCGACCUAAUCGUUGAGCCGCGGGAGAUACUACUAGGCUAGGAGGCGGGAGAGGUCGACGGUACUUCCGGGGUAGGGGUGAAAUCCUAUAAUCCCGGGAGGACCACCAGUGGCGAAGGCUGUCGACUAGAACGCGCUCGACGGGGAGGGACGAAAGCUGGGGGAGCGGGCCGGAUUAGAUACCCGGGUAGUCCCAGCCGUAAACGAUGCAUGCUAGGUGUUGGGUUGGCCACGAGCCACCCCAGUGCCGCAGGGAAGCCAUUAAGCCCGCCGCCUGGGGAGUACGGCCGCAAGGCUGAAACUCAAAGGAAUUGACGGGG
rnacentral:rRNA from 1 species